CAGUUAAGGUUUUAACAAAGAUCUGCAUCUGUAUUAAUAAAACCAAACUCCUAUAUAAGGUCCCUUGAAAUAUCACAACUGCUACACAUACUUCUAUACAAAUAAGUCACUUUUUAGGCAAUUCUUCGAAAAUCUGUUUUUCCUCCAACAAAAUCUAUAUUUCAUGCGUUAAUAAGAAUCUAUUGACCCUAUAAUAAUACGAAAUAUCUUAAAUUUUUUGCUGAUUAGGUUAAGUUAUAGAGUGAAUUCUUCAAACUUCUAUUUUUCGAUGGAUCUUAAACUAAAAUUUACUGUAAAAAGGAAAUCAAUACAAUAGAUCACACAUUACUAUAAAGACUUUUCCUUUUCCCUCAAAAAACGUUCAUCCCUAUUGAUUGAUUAUUCAUACGGAAUCCAUUACAAAAUAUUUUAACAAAAAUCAUUGCAAUUCAGAUAUUGAACAAACAAAUGCAACUAGAUUCAGUUAAAGCAACCGAAAUAUGAAAAACAGGAAAGUUAUGGUACCUUGAGAAUGGAUUGGUUGAUUUUCAGAGGAAUGUAUCAAUAACAAAGCUAGAUGGCUAGUAUAUGGAGAAAAAAAGGGUCAAUGCAGCGUAUUUAUAGAUGGGGGAAAUCAAUUGUGGCAACGGAUUAGGAGAACUAUACGGCGAAGAAAUCAAAUACCAUACUAAGUUAGGAAAAACCACACGGCAAGUCGUCAAAAGGAGAUUCUAGAAUUUCUUUUCUUUUCCUGUUUUGGUCAGACAAAAGAAGGCUCUAAAAUUCGGGAGGGGAGAAAAAAGUAGGUUCUAGAACAGUGGAGAAUUUUGGGUUUGAA
rnacentral:lncRNA from 1 species